GACGGAAGGUGCAAGCGUUGCUCGGCAUCACUGGGCGUAAAGGGUGCGUAGGCGGCCGUGCAAGUCUGGCGUGAAAGCCCUGGGCUCAGCCCGGGAAGUGCGCUCGAAACUGCGCGGCUCGAGUGCCGGAGGGGAAAGUGGAAUUCCUGGUGUAGCGGUGAAAUGCGUAGAUAUCAGGAGGAAUACCGGUGGCGAAAGCGACUCUCUGGACGGCAACUGACGCUGAGGCACGAAAGCGUGGGGAGCAAACAGG
rnacentral:rRNA from 1 species